rnacentral:rRNA from 1 species
AUUGAACGCUGGCGGUAUGCUUUACACAUGCAAGUCGAACGGUAACAGGCCGCAAGGUUCUGAUGACUGGCGGACGGGUGCGUAAUGCAUCGGAACGUGCCCAAACGUGCUUUAUAACUGCGCGUAAGAUUAGCUAAUAUCCCAUACUAUCGCAUGAUACCAGCGGGUGACCGCAAGGCCUCUUCCGAUCUUGCCCGCCGAUGUCAGAUUAGGUAGUUGGUGGGGUAAAGGCUCACCAAGGCGACGAUCGGUAGCUGGUCUGAGAGGAUGACCAGCCACACUGGAACUGAGACACGGCCCAGACUCCUACGGGAGGCAGCAGUGGGGAAUAUUGGACAAUGGGCGCAAGCCUGAUCCAGCAAUGCCGCGUGGAGGAAGAAGGCCUUCGGGUUGUAAAGUGCUUUUGUUGGGAAAGAAAAGGAUCUGGUUAAUACCCGGGGGUAAUGACGGUACCGAAAGAAUAAGCACCGGCUAACUACGUG